UGGCUUUAUUUUUUUAUGCCGUUCUUCAGCUGUCUUUCCCUUAUCACCCGCCCCACACUUGCACGUGUCUCCACCUGGCGACCCAGCCGUCUCAAGCAGCCCGCCUCUGCACUCACUAGGAGAGUCCCCGGCGCGCGCAGGCCCCACCCUCUUCGCCUCAGGGCUUCGUCUUGCUUCAGAGCCGAAGGGGGCGCGCGUGAAGUCUCAUGGGAGUUGUAGUUUUUCCCGGCUCCCCGAGUUCUGUACACCCGUUGCCUUCCCUUCCCUCAGAGAAAGCACCAGCCCUUGGCUGUUGUUCCCUGACGCUUCUUAUGUUGUGCAGUGCUGGUCUCCUGCUUUAAGGUGGUGACCUAAGAAAGCACAAGGCACAGAGCCAUGGUUGACCUGCACCGGUUUACACUGCCUGAAGACCAGAACCCAAGACUCCUGACUUCCAACCUAGACCUGCUGCUAGCAGCAAAUGAUGCUUCAGCCAGUCCCAGGAUCUCCGAGGAUCUGCCGAGGGCUGGUCACAGUGAAGGAGAAUGUGCACGGCAGUUCUGCAGAGCCUGCAGCUUUGGUUGAGCGGGACUGACUGCUGGAAUGUUAUUUCCGGACGCACGAAUUAGGAAGGCGACUUAUCUACACUCACCAAGCAAGUCAGUGGCAGAGCAC
rnacentral:lncRNA from 1 species